AUGGGGACAGGAGCAUGCUGGCACGUGUGUCCCUAUAGGAAAGGGAGCGAGGUGGCACGUGUGUCCCCAUGGGGAUGUGAGCAUGGUGGCACAUGUGUCCCCACGGGGAUGGGAGCAUGGUGGCACGGCCAGGCAGGACGCCACCUCCCCGCAGGGACCAGGGCAGGACGUGGUGUCCCCACGGGUGGCAGGACGCCGCCUCUGUCCUUCCCGGCAGCCCCCGCCUGCUGCCGGUCCCUCCUGGCCGCCCGCCGCCGCCGCGUCCCGUGCCAAGUCCCCUCCCCGGCCCUGGGUCACCCGCGGCCGCCCUCGGGGCUGGUGGCACGCGUGGGCCCUGCAGGACGAGGCCGGACACCCCCGGGCGCGGGGCCAAGCUCCGGCGCCUGGCGAGCUUUAAAUAGCUCCAGUCAGGCCUUCAGCUGGGACCAGUUAGAGCUGGGAAGAGGGCUGGCCCCAGAGCUGGCCGCACGCUCAGCCCGAAACAGGGUGCACGCUCACCCCAAAGCGGGGUGCCCACUGACCCUAAAACAAGGUGCAGUGCUCACCCCAAAUAGGGGAUAUUCUAACCCCAAAGUUGGGUGCCCACUCACCCCAAUCUGGGGUGCAAUGCUCACCCCAAAGAUAGGUGCCCACUCACCCCAAAACAGGGUGCCCACUCACCCCAAUCUGGGUGUAAUGCUCACCCCAAGCUUGGUUCAGUGCUCACCCCCAAAUAGGGGGUAUUCUCACCCCAAAGCUGGGUGCACACUCACCCCAAAACAGGGUGCUCACUCACCCCAAGCUUGGUGCAGUGCUCGCCCCCAAAUAGGGGGUAUUCUCACCCUAAAGCUGGGUGCCCACUCACCCCAAAACAAGGUGCAGUGUUCAACUCAAACCAGGGUGCAAUGCUCACCCCAAAACAAGGUGCCCACUCACCCCAAGCUUGGUGCAGUGCUCACCCCAAAUAAGGGGUAUUCUAACCCCAAAGCUGGGUGCCCACUCACCCCAAUCUGGGUGCCCACUCACCCCAAUCUGGGUGCACAAUCACCCCAAGCUGGGUGCAGUGCUCACCCCAAAUAG
rnacentral:lncRNA from 1 species